rnacentral:rRNA from 1 species
CCGAGAUUCCGGCAGUAGCGGCGAGCGAAACCGGAUUAGCCCUUAAGCUAAUCUUGCGUUAGGUGAACAUGCUGGAAAGCAUGGCAAUAAAGGGUGAUAGCCCCGUAACCAACAGCGCAUUAUCAGUGAAAUCGAGUAGGACGGGACACGUGUUAUCCUGUCUGAAUAUGGGGGGACCAUCCUCCAAGGCUAAAUACUCCUGACUGACCGAUAGUGAACCAGUACCGUGAGGGAAAGGCG